rnacentral:rRNA from 1 species
GACAGAGGCCCCAAGCAUUAGGCGGAAUCACUGGGCUUAAAGCGUGUGUAGGCGGAUCGUUAAGUGUCUUGUGAAAUCCCACGGCUCACCCGUGGAACUGCUGGGCAUACUGGCGAUCUUGGGCCAACUAGGGGCAGCCGGAACAAGCGGUGGAGCGGUGAAAUGCGUAGAUAUCGCUUGGAACGCCGAAGGUGAAAACAGGCUGCUGGGGUUGUGCCGACGCUGAGACACGAAAGCCAGGGGAGCAAACAGG